rnacentral:pre_miRNA from 1 species
UCGCGAUUUUCUCGACGCCUACCCUCGGCGUUGUUCGUCGGCCGAGGGUAGGCGCAGAGGAAAUCGCGG